CAGUUAAAAUCAAUUUAAAUACUUGAAAAAAGUGCAGAUAAAGCUUUACAGCAGCCUAUCUCUAGGCAACUGUCACUUUCAUGAUUCAUGUAAGCAUAAGGACCACUUGCAGAACUGCAUUCUGUUCUCAGGUUGCUCGAGACAGUCUCACUGUUUGUUCUGUGUACCAUCAUGUCUUUGAUUUGCCCAGUGAUCGAGCUCUUGCAGAUAAGGCUUGUGUGAUUUUUAAGUUUUUCUCCUCAUAGUUUUUGGGGUUUUAAUACUAUGACUAGAAUGGACCAGCCAAAAGUGCUCUUUGUAGUACCUGCAAUGCCCAGUAUUUCCUCCUGCAAUUCAUAUAGGGUUACAUGGAUUGGUAGGUCAUCUAAAUAAGAUUGUAGGUUCUUUUUAUAAGCCCGGUUGCUCCUUACUACUAUUGGAACUGUCUGAGUAUCUUCCACAUUGCUCUUGUUUCUGCCUGCAGAUCCUGAUAGUUUUGACUGCCCCUCUAAACAAAACACUGUAGUCCCUGAUGGUCAGUGCUACUUUUAGCUUCUCUUCUUGGACCACUAUCUGGUUUUCUAGUAUCUAUCUUUUGGACUGUUGGUAGUGGGUGAUCCCAUGUGAUGCUUUCUGGCUCAUGUUUCCAGUGACCAUAAUAUUUGCACAAUCCCCAGUGCAAUAGUCUUGACACAUUGCCUUUUCAGUAUACAGUCCUUCUGCCAUUAGUAUGUCACAACCACCAACUAGGUGUGCAACUUUCCAAUUUUGUUUUACAAAACCUGCACUUGUCUCCGUGUUCAGUGGACUUCGUAAACCAUGUAACUAUCGCGGGGCUGCGGGCUGCCAGUAUUAGUAUUUCAUCUCUUGGUUUAAAGUAAUCUCUCCUCGAACAUUCCUGUGCUCAUUCUUUAUCAACAUUAGGUUCUAUCUAGAAGUUUUCUAUAUUUGCCUUCUCAUCUGAUCCUUAGUGUGUGUGAU